rnacentral:rRNA from 1 species
GAUGAACGCUGGCGGCGUGCCUAAUACAUGCAAGUCGAUCGAACGGACGAGAAGCUUGCUUUUCUGAUGUUAGCGGCGGACGGGUGAGUAACACGUGGAUAACCUACCUAUAAGACUGGGAUAACUUCGGGAAACCGGAGCUAAUACCGGAUAAUCUUUUGCACCGCAUGGUUCAAAAGUGAAAGACGGUCUUUCUGUCACUUAUAGAUGGAUCCGCGCUGCAUUAGCUAGUUGGUAAGGUAACGGCUUACCAAGGCAACGAUGCAUAGCCGACCUGAGAGGGUGAUCGGCCACACUGGAACUGAGACACGGUCCAGACUCCUACGGGAGGCAGCAGUAGGGAAUCUUCCGCAAUGGGCGAAAGCCUGACGGAGCAACGCCGCGUGAGUGAUGAAGGUCUUCGGAUCGUAAAACUCUGUUAUUAGGGAAGAACAUAUGUGUAAGUAACUGUGCACAUCUUGACGGUACCUAAUCAGAAAGCCACGGCUAACUACGUG